GUCUAGGCUGAUCAUGGCAGGUGGACAGCUGCAUGGAGCUCCUGAGGCAGGGGUAGGGGACAGCUGGCGUGGGCUGCUGGCCAGACAGGAGGACUCCUGGGUGUGUCCCGGCUGCCUCCUUGUGAGAAGGGCAAUGCUGUCAGUGCCGAGGUGGAGGGGCCCAAAUCCCUUGAGGGCCUUGGGCAACUGAGAGUCAAGAGGUUCCAGGGAGGUCAGGCCCUCCAUAGUGUGAACUGGUAAGCAUCCCAGGCACUCCUUUGGCACCUCGACCCUGUCAGGCUAGGAUUUGCCCUGCAGCCCAGGCAUUCUCCUGGUCCAGAUGGAGCGGCAAUCAGCUCUCUGUCUCCCCCUGCAGGAGGACAGGUAUUGUAUCUCUUAGCCUGAACUAGGGAGGGAGGCAAUGCCAGCCAUCAACCUGCUGAUCCAGCUUCCCGUCACACCAUGGUGCAGGACUUUCAGAGACCCCUUUGUGAGACCCUGCUUGCUCAAUCCUUUGGGAACAUUGCAGUCUUUUCCCACCAAAAUGAGGCUGGGGCAGGUAUAGCCCCUUCUUCUUAUGUCUCCGCCUAAUCUUUACUCUCAAAGUUGGGAAGUCUUCCUAUUUUGGCCCCCUGCAAUGGCAGAGAAACACCUUGCUGACCACACCCUAAUUCAGCACAGCCACUGAAGUCUCUGGACAUUCCAAGGGAAGCUGCAGCGGCCAUGGUCCCUGUCCCUGGAGGUGGCCCCUCAGUAACAAACAGGUGGGAACAGUUGGUCAUGGCAUGAAGGGCGGCCAAGAAGGAGACAGUGAGAAGGAACACUGUGUCUCCAAGGAUUAGCUGAGCAGGCACUUGGCUUGAGGGUCACAGGCCAGGAAUGCUCUCUGGGCAGCUGCAGGGGGUCAAGAAUGCUUGGCAGUUCCAGGUGGCUGAGGAGCGACAGCUGAGCAGCUGAGGAUCCUGGACAGGCCCUCACUCUGCCCUGCCCACAAGAAGCCAGGCUGUUUCACACUUGUUCAUGGCUGCCGCGCCCCCCCGCCCCGUUUCUCUCCAGGAAAUCCCCUCCUCUCCUGCCAGAGGAAUUUUAAUAGAGAAGUGGGUGCUAGUCUGCCUGGCUCCUUCAAUGCUGGCCCUCAGAGGCCUCUCUGAGUCUGAGCUCCCAGGGCCCCUGGGGGAAGGUCUAGGACUCUCCCAAACAGGAAGGCUUUCUGUCGUCUCCAGGCUACAGUCAACACAGCCAUACUACAACUGCCACUUGGGGCUGUGCCUUGCUCCAAGACUGGCAAUGUCCUGGGCUUUGAAAGCCACCAGCAAAAUGCCUUGCAGCCCAGCGGAGCAUGACGGUUCCUGUGUGGACAUCUGAAUCUAAGACUGUCACCAAAAGGCUGGGUGGCACUGAGGGUGUCCCUGGGCCCUUUGGGAUCUCUUGGUGUUGAUGCAUCAGCCACAACAACUUGUGGCUCUAAGCUGGCAUGUGUCUCAAGCGUCAGGGUUGAGUAUCACCUUGAAUCCAAACCUGACCCUUCCUGUGGCCACGACACCCUGUCCUCCUGUCCACCUUGUGCAGAACUAUGUGGUUCUGCUCCAAGCCUCCACUGGGAGCCAUCUGUCCCCCUGGAGGAGCAUGAAGGAAGAGGGAGAAGCCCUCAGGCCACCUGCUUGUGUGCGUCUCUCUUCACCGUGGGGCCUUGCACUGUCCCCAGAGACCUGAGACCCAGUGACUCAUUGCCAUUAACAGACUGAAACCUGAUCAGCUCUGGGAGGGCAGCGAGGGUAGGAUUGAGGCUAAUACACCCUGCAAAUAGAAAUAUUAGCAACGGGGACAGCAGCUGGUCUCCAGGUCCCCAGCAAGCCACUGCCCUCUUGGAGAAGGCUUGGAGGGCCUUUAGCAGCCCCAGCUCUUCCCAGCAGGCUGUGGAAGAUGGGGGAAAGCAGGGCUUCUAUAUUCCAGAUGCCUUGAAAGAAUCUGGAACCCAGACCUUAGGAAAUGGGCAGAAAAUGAGCUGCCAUGGCUGCUGGAGGGAUUAAGUUCCAGCAAAAGUGAGUACGAAAAAGUCUGUCACAAGCAUGGAGCCCGGCAAACCCAGGCCCCUGUGACUCCCCUGGAAGCAGCUGCCAAAGAACCUCGGACCCAUAAUCGCUGUUCUCACAGUGAUGCUCUCACAAGCCAAGCCCGAGAGGCGGCCCAAGGGUCACAGCAAGCAGAGCUGGGUGGUAGAGCGCGUUCCUAGCGUGCCUGAGGCCCUGGUUUCCAUCCCUGCACCACUGAACAGCGACCACAAAAGACAACCACUUCUGCAUGGCCGAAAAGAUUCAGGGCAACUCCAUUUCUCCAUCCAUCUAUAAAUUAAUAGUGAGUGAAAAGUUCAGAACUCUAUGAGCCAGAUGGGCCAGAAGCUUCCCAACAAAGCCCUUCCUUUCUGCACAGCGGCAGGACCCUGUAUUUGUUAAUAUUCCUCGCCUGCAAGGAGUUGAAAUUCUUUGCAACCAAUAAGGCUGAAAGUUCAUGUUAUGAAGUCAAUCCACCACUUUCUAGAGCAGUGCUCUCCAACCUUUUUGGUCCAGGGACAGGAUUUGCGGAAGACAAUUUUUUAAUGGAUGGGAUAGCAUCAAGAAAGGGAACAAGGAAAACACUGUGUGGCGGUAAGGGCCAUGAAAAAAAAAACAAAGCACGGUGAUGCAACAGAGUGCCAGGAGGUGGCCGGAAGAGCUCUUUGAAGAAAUGACCCCAAGGCUGAGCUCCUGGGCCAUGGGCAGAUGUGCAUGGGAGCAGUCCAGAGAAGAGAAGAGAAGAGACCCCCAAAACUGCGGUCAGGGGAGGUGAGGGUCUCAUCUUCCCAUCUGUAAAACACCUAAUCGUCACUGGUGAAGACUGCACAAUGUAAUACAAGUCAACAGCGAGCCAAGCAGGCUCAUCAUUGUAGCCUGGAGUGAUCUGAAAGCCAGCAUUGCCUGGUGGGGAAGGCGGAAGCCCCGAGCCCAAGAGUCCGGAUUGCGUGCGAGACGUGUUUGGAGAACAUUUGUUGCUGGAAUGUCUGAGCGAAUUAAGAGGGAUCCAGCUAUUUUCUCUCUGCAUCAAGCUGUGGACAUGGAGGAAUGGGCUUUACUUGCAGUCAGAGACAGCAGAAGGAGCAAAAGAGCAUUUGUUCGCAGUAAAUCCAGCCUGGACCAGGUGGUGGCUUCCAGGGAAGGUGCUCAGGAAAAGCACAAGGGGAGCAGGGAACCUUGCACCACAUCCACCCCUAUCACCUUCCAGGAGCGGCUCUGCCUGAAAUGCUUUGCCACCUUUGCCCUCUGCUCCUUCCGCCAGGUACCCUUCUGGUUCCCCAAAACACAGUGACAUUAGGCUGAAAAGUCAAGGGACACAUAUGUCUCUUCUAUGUGAGAGCCUUACAACGUAGGAUGGUGUCACUUCCUAGGGUUGGGGUAAGGAUCUGGGCAGAGGAAGGAAGCGGGAGGGGUACAGGGAGCUGGUUUACUGAUCCUGACUCUCCUGGAGAUCUGGGAGAAUCUGGAGACCCUUCCAGUGGGAGGAGGUAAAGACAAUGGCCUCCGAUGAACAACUGUCCCAGGAAGCUCUUAGCUGGCUGUGGCGCCUUCAACCAUUUGGUCCACACCACUGUCCUCUUGGAAAACUGCAGGUUUGUCGUGCCCGCCUCAACCCUGUUCAGGCCCACUUGGGAGGAACAGAUGAACAAGAAUGAUAACAGCAACCUCCCUGACUUUCUAUCUAAGAGGGGCUCUUCCUUGGAAAACACAGAAGUGCUGAGUUCUGAGCAAAACGAGAGUGAGUUUGAAUGCCACUUCCAAUACCUUCAGACCCAUCUGGGAAAGAAGAGUAGGAUCUUCUGCCUGGGGAAAGAUGAAGACUUUCAGAUUCCAACUUACUCGUAAGAAAAUAAAAUAGGUAAUGAUCCUGUAGCCACCAAAGACUGAAUCAGUUACAAGUCAUCAGAACGAAAGAAAGAGAGAGAGAGAGAGAGAGAGAGAGAGAGAGAGAGAGAGAGAGAGAGAGAGAAA